CCUACGGGGUGCAGCAGUGGGGAAUAUUGGGCAAUGGGCGCAAGCCUGACCCAGCAACGCCGCGUGAAGGAAGAAGGCUUUCGGGAUGUAAACCUCUUUUGACAGGGAAGAGGAGAAGACGGUACCUGUCGAAUAAGCCACGGCUAACUACGUGCCAGCAGCCGCGGUAAUACGUAGGGCGCAAGCGUUGUCCGGAAUUACUGGGUGUAAAGGGCGUGUAGUCGGGUUGGCAAGUCAGUUGUGAAAUCCUGCGGCUUAACCGCAGAACUGCUCUUGAAACUGUGUAUCUUGAGUCCUGGAGAGGCAACCGGAAUUCCUAGUGUCGCGGUGACAUGCGUAGAUAUUAGGAGGAACACCAGUGGCGACGGCGGUUUGCUGGACAGCAACUGACGGUGAGGCGCGAAAGCGUGGGGAGCAAACAGGAUUAGAUACCCGUGUAGUC
rnacentral:rRNA from 1 species